GACCAAUAUGUCGGUCGUGCUUUUGUACGUACUGAUAUAAUUGGUUUCUCCCUUCUGAAGAACCUUGAUGUCAUUAAUUUGGUGUCUUGGGGAAUCAGGACUGUUACUUUGAAAGAUUAGAGUGUUUAAAGCAGGCUCGCGCUUGAAUACAUUAGCAUGGAAUAAUGAAAUAGGACGUUUGAUUCUAUUUUGUUGGUUUCUAGGAUCGACGUAAUGAUUAAUAGGGAUAGUUGGG
rnacentral:rRNA from 1 species